GUCAUUAGCGCAGUCGGCAGAGCCGUUGACUUUUAAUCAAUGGGUUGCAGGUUCGAGCCGAGCGAAGCGAGACAACA
rnacentral:tRNA from 1 species